GUGUUAUAUUUUCCAAUUUAUGUCCCGGGAUUGUUCAACUUAAGCUGCGUCCUCUUCAACGUUACAUUACAGAGUCUUCCGUUUGAUCUCCUCAACUUCUUGGAGCUUCAAUCCGAUCGGUCAUGGCGGAGAUUGAGCUGAAAACAGCACCUGCUGACUUCCGAUUCCCUACUACAAAUCAAACCAGGCAUUGUUUCACUCGUUACAUUGAGUUCCACAGGUGCCUGACAGCAAAGGGUGAGGAGUCUGGUGAAUGUGAGAGAUUUGCAAAGUACUAUCGUGCUCUUUGCCCUGGUGAAUGGGUCGAAAAAUGGAAUGAGCAGAGGGAGAACGGCACUUUCCCCGGCCCUCUUUGAAAGAAUGUUCAUCCCCCGGAAAGCACAGAUUGUUAAUUUAUGUUUGUUCUCAAGUUCUAUCAAAAAACUGUUUGGGAGUUCCAUUAUUUUUCAUUGCAUCUCAGAGAAUAAUAAACGAAUAGCCAUUUUGUUUCGUGUUUUUCUUGAGUAGUUAUGACUCAAUUGUGUUGAUUGUGGACAGGCUGAAUU
rnacentral:misc_RNA from 1 species